rnacentral:rRNA from 1 species
AUGCUCCUAUAUGCUCAGCUGAAUUAUUAUAACAUGUCUAUCCAGUUUGUAGUUAUUCUUACAAUGUUAUCUUGGCAUAUUUUGCAGAAAGGUACCAAGAGGGUGCAAUUUGUCAGGAACUUGAUUAGGGAGGUUGCUGGAUUCGCUCCCUAUGAGAAACGUAUCACUGAGCUUCUUAAGGUUGGAAAGGACAAGCGUGCACUCAAGGUCGCCAAGAGAAAGCUUGGUACUCACAAGAGAGCAAAGAAGAAGAGAGAGGAGAUGUCAAGUGUCCUUAGGAAGAUGAGGUUUUGCUUGAUUGAAUUACAGAUGGUUGUAUGA